rnacentral:rRNA from 1 species
GAUUUCUGGUUUAAUGCACCUGGCCCGCGGCCACUAGUGCCGGCGCGCGUUUACCAUCCUUCUAGAAAACGAUUCUGCCAUUAACUUGGUUGGGAUCGAUCUAGAUCUUUUACUUUGAAAAAUUAGAGUGUUUAAAACAGUAGCAUGGAAUAAUAAUCUAGGACUUCGGUUCUAUUUUGUUGGUUCUAUAACUAGUAUUGGCCGGCCAGAGGGAAAUUCUUGGAUUCGGUCAAGACUACCUUAUGCGAAAGCAUU